AAUAAGCGGAGGAAAAGAAACCAACAGGGAUUGCCUUAGUAACGGCGAGUGAAGCGGCAAAAGCUCAAAUUUGAAAUCUGGCACCUUCGGUGUCCGAGUUGUAAUUUGAAGAAGGUAACUUUGGGAUUGGCUCUUGUCUAAGUUCCUUGGAACAGGACGUCACAGAGGGUGAGAAUCCCGUGCGAUGAGAUGACCAAUCCUAUGUAAAGUGCUUUCGAAGAGUCGAGUUGUUUGGGAAUGCAGCUCUAAGUGGGUGGUAAAUUCCAUCUAAAGCUAAAUAUUGGCGAGAGACCGAUAGCGAACAAGUACAGUGAUGGAAAGAUGAAAAGAACUUUGAAAAGAGAGUGAAAAAGUACGUGAAAUUGUUGAAAGGGAAGGGCUUGAGAUCAGACUUGGUAUUUUGCAUUCCUUACCUUCGUGGUGGGGUUCCUUGCAGUUUACUGGGCCAGCAUCGGUUUGGAUGGUGGGAUAAUGACAUUGGAAUGUGGCUCUGCUUCGGUAGAGUGUUAUAGCCAGUGUUGAUACCGCCUGUCUAGACCGAGGACUGCGUCUUUGACUAGGAUGCUGGCA
rnacentral:rRNA from 1 species